UCCAAAUAUAAUCUGAAAAAGUCUAUGACGACGCUCUGCCAAGCCACCGUGGUACCGCUUCACCUCCACUUCAGAGCGCCGGAGUAACGUUAUGUAAUUAUGACAUUCAAUGGAGGAAACCCUCAAUGUCUUGGGAGCCCUCUCCAAAUCCCUCCAUUCCAGCAACCUCGUAGAUCCCAAAAGAUGCUCACAGGCUCAAUACCUUCAAACACAUUCUGAAGGAAAGAUCUCCUAUGAGAUGAGAGUUUUUUAUGUCACCAGAAGCAACCAAAACUUCAGAUUUGUCGACAGCCCUGUUGCUAUUAGAUUCACGGAGAUACAAAAUUUGAUGAGAUAGCAGAAACCAUGAACCCUCUCCCGGUGGAACUUUUCAGGUUUGGUGAUUACGAACAACUUAUGUUAUUGACUAAUACGAACACGGAUUUGUCAGGUGUAUUUCUCUUUCGAUUCUUCUCAGCCAUUCCCAAGAAAUAACUUUCAUCGCACCUGAAACUAUCAUUACUACAAUUGUUUGGUUUCAGAUAUUGCUGCUGAAGUGAGGGAUAUUUUGUUAACCUUUUUAAGACCAAGGUUAGUUUUAAUAUAUCAAAAUGUUUUACAUUUCAUCUCUUCCACUAUGCAGGGACACCAGUGUUUGUCUUAGUGUUUUUGAAGGACUUGCCAUGCUUCUCCAUAAUAAAUUAGUAAUGUCUGGUGUUGAGCCUUUAGUGAUGAACAUCAACCUUAAAUUAGUAGGAGGCAGACUUAUAUCUCCACACUCAUGUUCUGCUUUUCUGUUUAUGUUUUUUGUUGGCACUUUGCAAUUUCUAAUAAGUUAGUUUUUAAAGCUUGGAUGUACGCAAGAAACUCAUAUAGAGCAAGUUUUUUGGCCUCCUCAUCACGUCGUUUGUACUUUGAGCAUCUCUCCUUAGUGGAAUUUCUUUCAUAUAUUAACCCAUGCCAUUUGUUUCUUUUCCACCCCCAUUUGUUUCUGAGUACGGCCGGUCGGAGUUACCUUAAAGGGGUAGGAGUUAGUGCAGAAAACCCCUCUGACACAUUCCUUACCCUAGGAUCUGUAGCAGUAAGUAAGGUUGUUCAUCUACUUCUACAAAAUAUGGAGAUGUCAAAGAAGAUUGAAUCUAUAACCCUAUCAGAGCCUAAUGACUAUAUCCUAAAUUCACCGCCUCAGUGUUUGUUACUUUUGACGCUGAGAUGACAAAAUUGACCAAUAUUUGUGCUUCACUGGUCAUGGUAUCAGUCACCGAGUAACCCAUUAUAUCUAUGUAUAUCUUCUCAUGAUUUUUAACGUUGUUUACGUUGACAUUUUGUGAUACAGCAUGUAGGCGUUGAAGACCCACAUGUCAGGGCCAUCCCACAAGGCCUCCAAGAUAUUGUUGGCAAGAUAUUCACUUUCCGCUUUACAAAUUUAAUUUCUCUUUUAACAUCACUCUUUCCCUGUCUCACGAAUUUCAGUCGUCACCAGCGCCCAUCAAUAGCUAAUUUUGCGGUCCAGGUGAGUUCAACAACUUAGAACUUAAGUCUUUAUCCUCCUUGCGUAACUGGCAUAUUUUCAACGGCAAUGACAACCCCGGCGAUGUUAUGGCGGGAGCUGCAUCCAUAACAACACAUUCCUCUCAUGGUGUGUACCACAAUGUUCUGUGACCAGUAGAAGGUUCAAUGGUCAUGGUAUGGUUGAAGAGAACAGAGGCGAGGCAGCUCUACUACGAGCUCGACCUGUUGUUCUUGAAAUGACUGCGGAGAAGCCAACAGUUACAGAGGAUGGACACGCUGUAAAGAAGGCACGCGUUGAGUAAAAUCUCAAGGGAGUCUAUGACCCUCAUGUCGUGGACCACAGCUACGCUGGAGUUUUUGUCAAAUUUAGCAUAAUAAUGAAAUAGGACUACAACUCAUUCCCACCCGUUAUGUUAGGGUCUUUGUUUUUUUUUCAAAAUUUCGUAUGUUUCAAGUAAGCUCUCUUUGUAUAAGUAUGUAAAUAACAACUCCUACCUUCCGAACUCAGAGGAAGCUUUGACUUGAAGGUUCAA